rnacentral:lncRNA from 1 species
CGAGUCUACACCCCUCCGAAGAAGAAUUUGAGGGGUUUUCAGCCGAUGACCUACCCCCACCCACUGACGUAAACAACAACGAGACUAAGAAAACCCAGGCUUCUACUAAAUUGAAGUCGGUAGUAAUUGAUCCAAAGAAAAAAGGGCUUCAAUGGUCCUCAGUAUGGUGGUUAUCAAGGACAAGGAUAUCGCCAACAGCCAUACCCUACAAGGGGUUUUUCGGUACGAGGUGCCGGACAGUAUGGUGGACGAACAAGGGCUCCUAGGAGACGUCCUACAGCUACUGUUACAUCUGCGUCACUCAGUCGUGACCCAAACGAGGAGGAGUAACAGAAAGGAUUACCAAGACAUCAAGAUUUGCUGGCAUUACCCCACAACAAAAAGUUUCAUCCCUUGGGAAAAAAGCUGAAGAUGAUUGGCGUGGUUCUAUCCGGAAGAGCUUGCAGAGUAGAGGAAUUCCAAAAGAAGUUGCUAACUUUAUCACAGAGUCAUGGUCUGGAGGAACAACCAAGCAGUACGGCAGUGCUUGGAAAAAGUGGUGUAUGUGGAAUAGUAUUAGGUUUUCCAGUCCAUUUUAUUCGUCUGAAACGGUAGUAUUAAGUUAUUUGUACUAUCUGUUUAGAAGUGGUAAGUCAUACUCUAUUAUAAAUAUACACAAAGCAAUGCUGCUUCAGACUUUACAAAUUUUUGGAAAUUCUUGGUGUAAAGAAACUGCUUUGAUUUCUCGUUUUAUGAAGAGUGUGUUUAUACAUAAACCCUCAAAGCCUAGAUAUGUUAUGACAUGGAAUGUGUCUACUGUGUUAAGGUAUUUGCAAAGCUUGAUGCCUUUAUCCAAGUUGUCGUUAAAACUGUUGACAUUGAAAACAUUAGCUUUGGUUGCAUUAGCAACAGCGCCUAGAGCUCAGACAUUAUGUGCAUUAGAUUUAAAUAAUAUGAUUGUUCAACAACAAGCAGUUGUUUUUACCUUUUCUGAAAUUCUGAAAACGUCCAAAGCAGGACAGUGCUAUUCUCUGAAGGUAGAACACUAUACAGAUGAGAGAAUUUGUGCAAUGCAUACUUUGUUGUAUUAUGUUCAAAAGACGGCUUCUAUGAGGAAAAGUGACAGAGUUUUUGUUUCUUUUGUAACACUUGAUGCGGUAACAACUAGUACGUUAUCAAGAUGGCUCAAAAUUGUGCUUGAACUUUCUGGUAUAGAUACUUCUAUUUACAAGGGACAUUCAUAUAGGGGGGCAUCAGCCUCAGCAGCUUAUAGUAAAGGCUGUAGUAUUAGUAAUAUUAUUUCGCAGGGUAACUGGAAGUCGGAUAAGAAUUUUAAAAAAUUUUAUUGUAGACAUUCUGAGAGUGAUGUGUCUUACAACGAUGCUGUAUUUGGUCAUGAAUGAUUAUUUGAUGAAUAAUAAAUUAAGGCAUUGUAAACUGUAUUUUUGUUGCCUUUAAAGAUGCUAUAUAUACAUGCGAAAAGCCGAAAGGCUUUACGAAAAAUAAUGUGCCCCCAUCCCAGCUUUAGUGCAGGAUGGAGGGCAUUAUUUGAGUAAAGCCGGAGGCUGAGCAUGUAUAUACCCUGCCCUUUGUGUAGUGAGUUUGAGUCACAUUGUGUUGGAAGCCUUUUAGAAUUGGUGUUGUUAUAUGCCCUCCCUUUUUGUAUUAUGUUUUUAAGCAACAAAAAUUUUCUUUAAAUUGUGAAUCUCAUGGGAUUUGGUGUAUUGUGGGUGAUGUGCAGCGCAUGCGCAGGUUACGACGUCAUCAGGCGGUAAAUUUGAAAUCUUUUAAUUUGCGAUAAGGUUUAAACGUCCAGAAUGGAAUGCUAUAUAUACAUGCUCAGCCUCCGGCUUUACUCAAAUAAUGCCCUCCAUCCUGCACUAAA